UACGGGGGGAGCAAGCGUUGUUCGGAUUUACUGGGCGUAAAGGGCGCGUAGGCGGUCAGCACAAGUCAGUUGUGAAAUCUCCGGGCUUAACUCGGAAAGGUCAACUGAUACUGUGCGACUAGAGUGCAGAAGGGGCAACUGGAAUUCUCGGUGUAGCGGUGAAAUGCGUAGAUAUCGAGAGGAACACCUGCGGCGAAGGCGGGUUGCUGGGCUGACACUGACGCUGAUGCGCGAAAGCUAGGGGAGCGAACGGGG
rnacentral:rRNA from 1 species